rnacentral:lncRNA from 1 species
CAAUACUUUUAAAUUUGCUGAGACUUGUUUUAUGGCCUAGCAUAAGUGUUAUUCAGGAUGAAGUUAUACAAGGGCUUGAGAAUCGUGCAUUCCUCAAGAUGACAUCCAUUGCAACAGGUCAGAAUUCUUUAUGAGUGCUGCAUUAUGGCCCACUUCACGCUUAAGAACAAACAUGAGGAUUUCAGAGCUGAAUCAACGUUAGACUCUUAAAAAACAAUUGUAUCAUGUUAUCUUCACAGGUACGGGACAAAGACAAGACCAUCACGGAUAAAGACAGGAGCAGAUUUAGUAUAUGUGCUGCCACCAUAACGGAUAAAGACAAGAACAGAUUUUAGUAUAUGUGCUGCCAUUUGAGACCAGCCUGGCCAACAUUGUGUUCAGUGAACACUGAUGAAAGCCUCAGAAGAAUGGAACCACCUGCAGCUUUAUCUACCCUACCCCAACAUUUUGUUUCUUUCUUGGUUCUCCUACUGCCCACCCUUUCCCCUUGAAAUACUGGAGUCCCCAAGCCCCCUUUGAAAUAAAAAGCACAAAUCAC